rnacentral:rRNA from 1 species
AUGGCGUUGCUACGAGCCAGCCAGCCAGCGACGGUGCUACAAGGUUGCCAUGCUGCUAUGUCGCGUCGAUGGCCGGCGAUGCUACAACAAUGGAGCACCGGGUGGGCUGGUCACGGUCCUCUGCUGCAUGCAUCAGUUGGCUGCUGCAACGGAGCGUCCCCCGGCCGCCGGAGCAUCAUAGGAAAUCGACAUUGCAAUGGAGCUAGCAUCGCUGGGCCAUCGGAGCAUCGUUGGUGCUGCAGCGAAGCAUCGCGACACUACACUGGAGCGUCGCUGAGCCAUCGGAGCAUCGUUGGUGCUGCAGCGAAGCAUCACGACACUGCAAUGGAGCGUCGCCCGGCCACUAGAGCAUCGCAGCACUGCAAUGGAGCGUCACUAGGCCACCGGAGCAUCGUCGGGCCGCCGGAGCAUCGUCCGCGCUGCAAUGGAACAUCGUCGGUCCGCCGAAGCAUCGUCGACCCUUCAACGAAGCAUCAUCGGUGUUGCAAUGGGGCAUUGUCGGGCCGCGGCAGCGUCGUUGCUGGUGCUGCAAUCCCGGAGCUUGCCAGUGCUGUAGCCAUGGCCGUGCGGGUGUUACAUGCAAAAUUUGGUGCUGCAAGUCGGCUAGCUGCGGUUCUCGCUGGAGCUAUUCGUAUCACCACGGAAGCGAGAACCUGCGUUGCUCACACCGGCGGCUCGAGACUGGAGUGGCUGCUGGGGAGACAAGCACGUAGCAUAAAGAACAGAGACCUCCUCGCCCGAGCCUUAUGCGCCAGUAGACAAAACCAGCGAUCACAUGGCUGUCUACGUGGGCCGGCCCGAGAACGAGCGGACGAGCUCGCGCACGACGCGUGCUUCCCCGUUUUCCUUGCUCGACCGUUUCGAUCGCUAAAGAAAGCUCGAUCGCUUCGUGUACACAGCCCAGCCCGGGAACAGAGUCCGCCCGGCCCACACCGGCCCAGCACGCACGCACGCGGUGGAUACGAAACCCCAAAGCCCUCGCGCCUCCUCCACCUCCACUCGACAUGCAGCCGCCACCUCCGGCCGCCGCCGACGAUGAGGGUGAAGAGGCGGUCGAGGCACCGCAAGGUGGUAAAGUUCUACUCCACCUGCUUCGGUUUCCGCGAGCCCUACAAGGUGCUCGUCGACGGCACCUUCGUGCACCACCUCCUCGUCCACCAACUGCUCCCGGCCGACGACGCACUCCGCGAGCUCCUCUCCGCCGCCCGGCCGCCCCCGCUCUUCACCUCCAAGUGCGUCCAGGUCGAGCUCCGCCGCCUCGGCAAGUCCUACUCCCUGGCCUUCGACGCCGCCCAGCUCCUCGCCGCCGCCAGUCUUGAAAUUCUACAUGACAAAGUGGUCAGUGCUGUGGACUGUAUCCUGUCCCUGGUUGGUGAUAAGAAUCCGGAGCACUACUUUGUCGCCACCCAGGAUUCUGGUCUCCGGGCAAAGCUACGAGAGGUUCCUUGUGUUCCUGUGAUAUACGGUCUGAAGAACUCCCUGUUUGUUGAGCAACCCUCCGUGCAGCAACGAUAUUCGUCAUAUGCACGUUUAGUGGGCAUCACUAACAUUUGGAGUUAUGAGAAGCCGAUGUGUGUCCUUCUGCAGGGCCCAAACCCACUCUCUUGCAAGAAAAAGAAACCGAAGCCCCAACCGUCAGCUGCUCAAAAUCAGGGUCCUAAGGCUGAUGGUGAGGCGAAGAGGAAGAGGGUUAGGAAGCGCAAGAGAAGCGACAAAGACAGCACUCAAGCGGAGACAGCGAGCUGA